ACGCUCGACACCUACGGGAGGCAGCAGGUGGGGAAUAUUGCACAAGUGGGGGAAACCCUGAUGCAGCAACGCCGCGUGAAAGGAAGUACGGUUUUCGGAUUGUAAACUUCUGUUCUUAGUGAAGAUAGUGACGGUAGCUAAGGAGCAAGCCACGGCUAACUACGUGCCAGCAGCUGCGGUAAUCUGAGCGGGCUGGCAAGGC
rnacentral:rRNA from 1 species